GCAAGCGUUAAUCGGAAUUACUGGGCGUAAAGCGCACGCAGGCGGUCUGUCAAGUCGGAUGUGAAAUCCCCGGGCUCAACCUGGGAACUGCAUUCGAAACUGGCAGGCUUGAGUCUUGUAGAGGGGGGGAGAAUUCCAGGUGUAGCGGUGAAAUGCGUAGAGAUCUGGAGGAAUACCGGUGGCGAAGGCGGCCCCCUGGACAAAGACUGACGCUCAGGUGCGAAAGCGUGGGGAGCAAACAGGAUUAGAUACCCUGGUAGUCCACGCCGUAAACGAUGUCUACUUGGAGGUUGUGCCCUUGAGGCGUGGCUUCCGGAGCUAACGCGUUAAGUAGACCGCCUGGGGAGUACGGCCGCAAGGUUAAAACUCAAAUGAAUUGACGGGGGCCCGCACAAGCGGUGGAGCAUGUGGUUUAAUUCGAUGCAACGCGAAGAACCUUACCUGGUCUUGACAUCCACGGAAGUUUUCAGAGAUGAGAAUGUGCCUUCGGGAACCGUGAGACAGGUGCUGCAUGGCUGUCGUCAGCUCGUGUUGUGAAAUGUUGGGUUAAGUCCCGCAACGAGCGCAACCCUUAUCCUUUGUUGCCAGCGGUCCGGCCGGGAACUCAAAGGAGACUGCCAGUGAUAAACUGGAGGAAGGUGGGGAUGACGUCAAGUC
rnacentral:rRNA from 1 species